UACCACUCUGAGCUUGCUUCCAUACAACAUUCUGUACCACUUUAACAUUUGUCUUUCCCACCUUUCUGGACUUUAACAAUUUAAUUCUGAAAUUAUCCAGGGACCGAAAACUCCUUUGUGGUUGGACCAUACCAUGUUACAAGAUGCACACCAUGGUCACAAGCAGUUGGACGUAAAUCAUGCAGGUCCUGUGGAUCUACAAUCAUUUCUCCACCUUUAUCUCUAUGGACAAACAAUGAAGCUCAGUCGUCAGCUCGACAUUUUGCUCUUCCAACUGUUGCCGCUGCUGAAGAUUACUUGAAAUGUGAAGCUUUUCUGCUGUUAGCUCAUUCACUCUACUUUUCAGUUGCUGGACUUGUUCUUGCUGAUUUUGUAAGUGGUUUUGCAAAAGCUCAAUUCUUCUAGAAACUGCAAAAAUAAAACGAUAUGCACAGAUA